GAGUUUUAAAACUGGAUACUAGGUAAAUAUGUGUAAUGAACUUUUUGUUAAGAAAUUAACCUUUUAUCUAGUGCUGUGUUUCUGCCCCCGCCCCCACCCCACAUUGUAUCAAUAGUUUGAUAUAUAUAUUUUAUUAGAAUAUUAUAAUAGAUUGUUUUUAUGACAAGUCUACUUGCACUCAUUCUUAAGUGGUUUCUCCUCAAUCUUUGCUACUGAAAAUAUCUGGUGAAUUAAUAAGUAGGAUUCCAGUUUGAAAAAGAAAUCAAGAUAUUAGUUGGUUUCAACCUGAUUAUAUCUUUGACGUGCAAAAUCCUACUACAGUGAAUUCUAAGGUGAUCCAAAUUGUUUUGUUGUUAUAGAAAUAAUUUGGAAUCAGAUGACUUAGAAAUCUCUCAAAACUUUUUAUUAUAAUGGUAUUUUAAGCAAUUGGACUGUAUAUGUAUGGCAUUAAAUGAAUAUAAAUAGGUUCUUAUUCAUUCACAAUCCUUUAACAACAGUAACAUGAUCAUUUAAAAGGCAAUUUAUAGCACAUUUUCAUUUAAAUUUGCUGUGGUUGAAGUGUUGUCUUUAGUGAACAUUUAUUAAUUAGUGGGAUUCAGUUUCUCUUUGAACUCAGAAGUUUUCAAGCUGGUUGGCUUACUGGAUGCUUGUUAAGUUUUCAGCAUCAUCUUCCCCCCUUUUAAGAAUCAAGUGUUUAUUCAAUUUGCUUUUCAACCCAGAGAAUAUGAAACUCUCCUCUAGUUUAUGUAGCAUUUUUCACUUAAUAUUUCCUUACAGAACUUUAUAGGACAUAAAAAUAGCAUCUGGUAGCACUUAGGUAAAGGUAGCAGAAAACAAAAGAACUUCCAAACAGAAAUUAUGUUCCUUGCCACCUCCUCCACUUCAAAGAAUAACAAACACGUGGCACACAUGGAGUUCUUCAGAAAAACUGCAUCAUUUUCUUCCAAGGUAAACUAUUUGACAGCUCGGAGUCUGUGAUGAUCUUAAUUGGCCUUCUAUUUAGUAGAGUCUUAGAAACGGAUUUAUUUCUGAGAGACUUUUUUUCAUCAUUAUGUGUGAAUAGCUUUCCCGCUAAAGACUUUUAACGAUAGGGGUCAUAACAGGGCAUGCAACUCUGAGUUAAUUUCAUCAAUUUCUAACUUCAAGUUGCCUUAUUUUUUGCAGUUAAGAAAUAUGUUUUUCAGGGUUAAUAGCAGAAUUUUUUUUUAAAAAAAAAAUUGUUAAACUUUAGAAUCCCAUUGAAAAGAUCCUUUAAAUGUCAACUUUACUCAACCUUGUAAAAGUCUUUCUAAUUUUAUCUGACACUUAAUACAUCAGUUGACUUUCCUGCCGAUCAUUUAAGAUUUAGAGAAUUCUUUACAAAUUCCUGUGUUUUAUUGUAUGACAUGACGUUUCUUAUUUUACAGAAUUCACAAUUUCAAUGCAUAGACUUUAUGGUACAUUUCUUAAAAGAAUUUUUGUAGUGAUCUCUAUUUAGUUAUAAAAAUGUAACAGAAGGAAACGACAUCAAAUUUAGAUGUCCCAAUUAAAUUCAACUUGAUGCAACCUGAGUUGGGUAUAACAUACACCAAACACUUUGAUAAAGGGGACAGGCUGCCUGCCCUCCAAGAGCAUUGUCAACCAAGGGAGCAGUCCAUACAGCCCCGGGACAGGAGUGAAGGCAGAGAGCCCCAGGCAAUGAAGGCUGCAUUACCAGGGCCUUGGAGGGGAGAACAAAGAGAAAAACAAUUUUAUCUGGUGUGGGAAGUGGCCAUAGAAAUACAGGGGCAGCUUGAAAGCAUUCCGUUUCUAACUAGUUAAACGGUAUAUUCCUUCUGGUUUGUGAGCAGGUGCAGAAAAAUGCCUGCAUAAUGUUACAUAUUUAUAGUAGUUCUUUGUCUGUAAAAUGUUAAGUGGGUGAGCUGUUAUAAAAAGUUCCAUAUUGUAUUUCUCAUUAAAAUUAGUACUAUUAUUACUGUGGAUCAGAUGCUAAUAUUCAAGAAAUAAUCCUCUAGUAAAAAGGUUUCGACCUGAAUUAAUACGUGAACUGACUGUUAAUAUAGAAUAAAUGUCAUAAUGGCUCAUGUUUAUUUUACUUAUUCAAAUCUUUGAAGAGAAGCAUGGUAUCUGACUUUCAUUUCCUGAAACUGUGAGGAUCAAUCACACUGAUGAAAAUACUGAGUUUACACUACAA